CGUAUAUUAAAGUUGUUGCAGUUAAAAAGCUCGUAGUUGGAUUUGUGGCGUAUGGUGUGUUCCGGGCACUUGUUGUCUGAGUAACCUGCUGUUGCCAUCCUUGGGUGGAACCUGUGUGGCAUUAGGUUGUCGUGCAGGGGAUGCCCAUCAUUUACUGUGAAAAAAUUAGAGUGUUCAAAGCAGGCCUAUGCCGUUGAAUAUAUUAGCAUGGAAUAAUGAGACAGGACUUUUUUACUAUUUUGUUGGUUUGCGUAAAGAGGUAAUGAUUAAUAGGGACAGUUGGGGG
rnacentral:rRNA from 1 species